CGUACGCCGUUUACAUCGUCACUUACGAAACAGAGCUCUAGAUUGGUCUCAACCAAGACUCUAUCCAUUGCGACUCUAUCCAUUGCGAUUGCGAAGAAAGUAAUUUCUUCAUCGGAGAAGGUGGAAACGGAUCUCAGGGUAUUUGGAUCCGGUCUCUAUGGAGAACUAUAUAACUAAAAUAGUUAAUGACUCAACUGUUUAUGAGAGUAUUAUAAGUCACUACGUUUGGUAAUCAACUGUUGCUUUCCGAAACGAAGUGACUUAUAAUAAUCUCAUGAAUGGAUCUAUGUUAACUGUUGAUAGGUUGUUUUUCUCUAAUGAUGUAUUGUAGCUCUGCGUUUCUUGUUCGUUCACUCUUUUGUCAGGUAUUAACAAGAUAAAUCCCAAGCAUCAUCCACCUUAUUAGUCCUUGAACAUGAAGGCUUGUAAAAUGGAUUGAUGCUUGGGAUUUAUUUUGUACUCUCCUCUUCUAAAAGAGUGUUGCCUCCAUAGGACUACCAAUGAUUUCAGGCUUGUUGAAGGAACGUGAUGCUUUUACUUAUAGAAAGCAUGAAAGAUUUGACCUCUCCCAUUUUGUUCUUAACUAUUGUUUUUGUACUUGUGAUAACCAAGAGAUAUGAACAUGUUCUAGUUGAGUCUUUACUCCCACUUCAUGUAUCAAUGGAACAAGGUUGGCUUCAAUGGAACAAGGUUGGCUUCAACUGCAGAUUAAUGAUUAUAGAAACCACGUGAACCAACCAAAGUCCAGGCAAUCAAAGAGAUCCUAUCUUGUAUUUCUGAGUUUGAGCGUUUCUAUGUUCUGUAAAUGUACCCAUACCAUGUGGAAUAAUGACUUUGUGCCAAACAUCACUCUAAAACAUUUCUUGUUAACA